AACUACAAAUUUUAUAAAAAUAGCAGCUGUGAAAUCCUAUACUCUUUUAUACAUGAAACUACGACAUUAUACAAACUACAGAAACAAGGUAGAUUCAGUCAACUCACCACUACCAGCUGCAUCAUGUGUGCAAGCAGUCAAUAUGGUACCCUUAUAUGUUGCUUUAAGAAAACUUCCGCCAACAACCAUUAGCAGCCUGCAAUACUCCCAACCCUUGAUAGAUGCAUAUAACGAAACAUAUGCAUAAAAAAGCAUCCAUCUUCUGAUUUGUGCAACUUUGUAACUGUUCCUGGAUUUGUAUGCUCCAACAUAUAAAUAUUCUUUGGCAACUCCUUAUAUGAAGCACUCAGAUUCCCUAUUAUCAUUGCAAUUGCUAUCUCUUUAGCUCUCAAUGCUUUCAUGUAGUGCACUUCAAUCCCAUGUUGCUUUUAUAUCUCCUCUAUUAUAUCAUUUGCGGUGUAACUUUUUUGGAUUAACAUACUUGUCCUUGACUAUACUAGCAGUUACACCCGGAGUAGCUUGAUGCUGUGUUAAGUAUCUUUCACCAUAGCCGCAUGUGUGAUUAUUAUUGUAACUUCUCCCCUUGAAAACGUUUGCCUUGAAAAUGGCAAAAGAUUUGAAAUUCCAAGCACAAUUUUCAUCCACACACAUAAGGUGAU
rnacentral:lncRNA from 1 species